CAGCAGCCGCGGUAAAACGUAGGGUGCAAGCGUUAAUCGGAAUUACUGGGCGUAAAGCGUGCGCAGGCGGUGUUGUAAGACUGAUGUGAAAUCCCCGGGCUCAACCUGGGAACUGCAUUGGUGACUGCAACGCUGGAGUGCGGCAGAGGGGGAUGGAAUUCCGCGUGUAGCAGUGAAAUGCGUAGAUAUGCGGAGGAACACCGAUGGCGAAGGCAAUCCCCUGGGCCUGCACUGACGCUCAUGCACGAAAGCGUGGGGAGCAAACAGGAUUAGAUACCCGCGUAGUCCCUGUCUCUUAUAC
rnacentral:rRNA from 1 species